AUAUUGUAAACUUGCAAAAUGUCUUGUGUGUUAUUUUUCUCGCUAUCUACCGCGUGUAAAAUCUUAAAAAGUAUGUGAUUAUUGAUAGUUAAUUUUGCAUGCUUAAGGGGGAUCGAUAGAAGUGAUUAUCUACCAUGUUUUCUUUUUGAUAACAUAAAUGUUGUCUUUAGUAAUUUAAUUUUUGUCAGUUUAUGAAAAUAAUGACUAGAAAAAACAGAAAGAGGGAGUAUAAAUUACAUAUGGAGAGCGUAAAUUUUACUUCCCCGCAUGCUUAAAUUGUUACUUCUAUUACAAAUUUCAUGAAACAUAGUUUUGUACAUCCAUAACUUAGCUGAAUUCAAGUUUUAUAUACAGAUCCCUAGCUUAUAUUCAAAUGGCUUCAAUCACUUGUGAUACCUAACUAAACGUUUGCAUCGAUCAUCAUACAGUAAUGAGAUAUGAGAUUAUCAUUACUUGCCGGCCAUCUCUAUCUUCCGAGAGUGACAGGUAGGGCACAGUAGGGAAGAAGGAAAUACAGUAAUAAAUUUCUACAUCAAAUGUAGCUAGAGAGGGAGAUGGUCCUUAUUUUGCUGAUGCUGUCUUAUAUAGUUUUCCAGGCUUUUCUGUGAACCUUAUGCAAACCCGAUGAGCUAAGGCAUGCAAUACUGGUCCCCUUUUUCUCUGUGUUUUAUACUCUUUUUGGUUCAUGCUUGAUGCCUACCUUACAGCACAGUCACACAUGACUUGCAGCUUCACACACAGCACAGCACAGAGAGAGAGAGAG
rnacentral:lncRNA from 1 species